UUCCUACGGGGCGCAGCAGUGGGGAAUAUUGGGCAAUGGGCGCAAGCCUGACCCAGCAACGCCGCGAAGGAAGAAGGCUUUCGGGUUGUAAACUUCUUUUAAGAGGGAAGAGAAGAAGACGGUACCUCUUGAAUAAGCCACGGCUAACUACGUGCCAGCAGCCGCGGUAAAACGUAGGGGGCGAGCGUUGUCCGGAAUGACUGGGCGUAAAGGGUGCGUAGGCGGCAUAAUAAGUUAGAAGUGAAAUACCCAGAGCUUAACUCGGGUGCUGCCUCUAAGACUGUUGAGCUUGAGUGCGGGAGAGG
rnacentral:rRNA from 1 species